rnacentral:rRNA from 1 species
CAGGAUGAACGCUAGCGGCAGGCUUAACACAUGCAAGUCGAGGGGUAACGGGGAAGCUUGCUUCCGCCGACGACCGGCGCACGGGUGCGUAACGCGUAUACAAUCUACCUUAUACUGGGGUAUAGCCUUUAGAAAUGAAGAUUAACCCCCCAUAGUCUCUAAUAGUGGCAUCACUUUUAGAGUAAAGGUUACGGUAUAAGAUGAGUAUGCGUUCUAUUAGUUUGUUGGUGUGGUAACGGCACACCAAGACUACGAUAGAUAGGGGCCCUGAGAGGGGGAUCCCCCACACUGGUACUGAGACACGGACCAGACUCCUACGGGAGGCAGCAGUGAGGAAUAUUGGACAAUGGAGGCAACUCUGAUCCAGCCAUGCCGCGUGUAGGAUGACUGCCCUAUGGGUUGUAAACUACUUUUAUACAGGAAGAAACACCUCUACGUGUAGAGGCUUGACGGUACUGUAAGAAUAAGGAUCGGCUAACUCCGUGCCAGCAGCCGCGGUAAUACGGAGGAUCCAAGCGUUAUCCGGAAUCAUUGGGUUUAAAGGGUCCGUAGGUGGAUAAUUAAGUCAGAGGUGAAAUCUUGCAGCUCAACUGUAAAAUUGCCUUUGAAACUGGUUAUCUUGAGUUAUUAUGAAGUAGUUAGAAUAUGUAGUGUAGCGGUGAAAUGCAUAGAUAUUACAUAGAAUACCAAUUGCGAAGGCAGAUUACUAAUAAUCAACUGACACUGAUGGACGAAAGCGUGGGUAGCGAACAGGAUUAGAUACCCUGGUAGUCCACGCCGUAAACGAUGGUUACUAGCUGUUUGGACUUAGGUCUGAGUGGCUAAGCGAAAGUGAUAAGUAACCCACCUGGGGAGUACGUUCACAAGAAUGAAACUCAAAGGAAUUGACGGGGGCCCGCACAAGCGGUGGAGCAUGUGGUUUAAUUCGAUGAUACGCGAGGAACCUUACCAGGGCUUAAAUGUAAGUUGCAUUAGUUAGAGAUAGCUAUUUCUUCGGACCACUUACAAGGUGCUGCAUGGUUGUCGUCAGCUCGUGCCGUGAGGUGUCAGGUUAAGUCCUAUAACGAGCGCAACCCCUGUUGUUAGUUGCCAGCGAGUCAUGUCGGGAACUCUAACAAGACUGCCAGUGCAAACUGUGAGGAAGGUGGGGAUGACGUCAAAUCAUCACGGCCCUUACGUCCUGGGCUACACACGUGCUACAAUGGUAGGGACAGAGAGCAGCCACUGGGCGACCAGGAGCGAAUCUAUAAACCCUAUCACAGUUCGGAUCGGAGUCUGCAACUCGACUCCGUGAAGCUGGAAUCGCUAGUAAUCGGAUAUCAGCCAUGAUCCGGUGAAUACGUUCCCGGGCCUUGUACACACCGCCCGUCAAGCCAUGGAAGUUGGAAGUGCCUGAAGUCCGUCACCGCAAGGAGCGGCCUAGGGUAAAGUCGAUAACUAGGG